rnacentral:lncRNA from 12 species
GUCCUUGCAGUUGAAUCCUGCAAGGGCAAAGUGUGUCUUGGUCGUGUUCUGUGGGCCAGGUCGGGUGCCUGCAGGCAGGAAGGGAAGUUUGGCUUUCUACCUUCAUUCCUUUACCUCGUGGUGACAGAAGGAAACAGUUUUCCAGGAACACAUCCCAAAGAAAACCAUCAGAGCUUCUCUUUUUCAAGGAUACCUGUGUGAUCGAGGGCUGUUAGCAGUUUCCAGAUGAGGCACUGAAAGAUGAAUGUGGAGCUCCCUGGCAUCUGUGUUGGCACAUCAAGUCACGCUCCAUCCCAUCAUUUCUGAAGGCAACAGUGCCACUCAGCACGACGCGACGUGGCGAGACGCAACACAGCUCAGCGGCGGAAAAAAAUC